GAUUGAACGCUGGCGGCAGGCCUAACACAUGCAAGUCGAGCGGAUGAAGGGAGCUUGCUCCUGGAUUCAGCGGCGGACGGGUGAGUAAUGCCUAGGAAUCUGCCUGGUAGUGGGGGAUAACGUCCGGAAACGGGCGCUAAUACCGCAUACGUCCUGAGGGAGAAAGUGGGGGUUCUUCGGACCUCACGCUAUCAGAUGAGCUUAGGUCGGAUUAGCUAGUUGGUGGGGUAAAGGCCUACCAAGGCGACGAUCCAUAACUGGUCUGAGAGGAUGAUCAGUCACACUGGAACUGAGACACGGUCCAGACUCCUACGGGAGGCAGCAGUGGGGAAUAUUGGACAAUGGGCGAAAGCCUGAUCCAGCCAUGCCGCGUGUGUGAAGAAGGUCUUCGGAUUGUAAAGCACUUUAAGUUGGGAGGAAGGGCAGUAAGUUAAUACCUUGCUGUUUUGACGUUACCAACAGAAUAAGCACCGGCUAACUUCGUG
rnacentral:rRNA from 1 species